UUAAAAAGCUCGUAGUUGGAUCUCGGCGAACAGGGGGCGGUUCGUUAUUUGACGGUACUGCCCCAUUUGUUCGUAUUUUUGCAGAGGAUUGGGGGUCCCCUUUGUUGGGUGUCUCCGGUCGCUUGCAGGUUUACUUUGAAAAAAUUAGAGUUGCUCAAAGCAGGCUUACACGCUUGAAUAUUCGUGCAUGGAAUAAUAGAAUAGGAAGUCGUUUCUAUUUUGUUGGUUUUCGGAAAAUGACUUAAUGAUUAAUAGGGACAAUCGGGGGCAUUAGUAUUCAAACGACAGAGGUGAAAUUCUUGGACCGUUUGAAGACUAACUACUGCGAAAGCAUUUGCCAAGAGUGUUUUCAUUAAUCAAGAACGAAAGUUAGAGGUUCGAAGGCGAUCAGAUACCGCCCUAGUUCUAACCAUAAACGAUGCCAGCUUGCGAUCUGCGGGUGUGUAAAAACAAGACCCCGCAGGGAGCUUCCGGGAAACCAAAGCUUGUGGGUCCGGGGGAAGUAUGGU
rnacentral:rRNA from 1 species